UAUAUAGGCACAAACUCUGUGAAGGCAUCACCACUGCUAGUUCAUCCUUGUGACUCUUUUCAGUGACACACAACAAGUCUUAGAAGAACCAUGAAGUUCAUCUGUCUUUUCUUUGCUGUGGUCUUCCUUGGCAGAGCCCAGGCUGAUGAAGCCGAUGUGGAUCAAGGGGAAGAACAAGACUUGAGUGGUCCUCAGGACCAAAACCCAGCUUUGCCAGCUGGUUAUGAUGAAGCUUUGAAGAAUGAAGGUAAUUGUAGCAUACAUAGGAGACUGGAACAUAUAUGGUGGGCAGGACUGCAUUUCUUUGGGAAGUCUUCACUCUUACAUUGGACUCAAUUAGAUCAUGGCUGGCUCAUGCACUGAUGGCAAUGUUUUCAAUGGUGAUCAGUAGGCUGUACAUGCUCUUAGGUGUGGUCAUCUCACACAUUACGUAAAGGUAAAGGGACCCCUGACCAUUAGGUCCAGACGUGGCCGACUCUGGGGUUGCGGCACUCAUCUCGCUUUAUUGGCCGAGGGAGCCGGCAUUCAGCUUCCGGGUCAUGUGGUCAGCAUGACUAAGCCGCUUCUGGCGAACCAGAGCAGCACACGUAAACACCAUUUAACUUCCCUCCAGAGCGAUACCUAUUUAUCUACUUGCACUUUGACGUGCUUUUGAACUGCUAGGUUGGCAGGAGCAGGGACCAAGCAACGGAAGCUCACCCUGACGCGGGGAUUUGAACCACCGACCUUCUGAUCAGCAAGUCCUAGGCUCUGUGGUUUAACCCACAGCACCACCAGCGUCUGGCAUUUCCAGUCUAGAUCCCUGUAUAUGCAGCUACUCUGCUCCUUUCCCCCCAGUUACAUAGACCCCACAAAUAUGUUCCUGAAGAAAUGCUGAGUUAGACCCAAGUAGUUUACCUCCUUUUCUCCAGUGUUGGAAAUUUCUAGCUGGGCCUGCUAGGAUCGGAGAUGGACAGCCUGCUCCCUGAUUUUGAUUUGAGAGAAAGCAAAAAGUCCAAGAAGGAACUUAAGGUUUCAAAUAAGAAGCCCAAACAACUAAACAUGUAAGUAAGUCCUGAUUCUGGUUGAGCUGAUGGUGGCUUCUCAGCACAAGGAGGAAACAAGGGAACUGCUGAAGGAGCAGGCUCGUUUGCUCCUGAGCCUAGCCUAGUGCAGCCAAGAGAUCUCCUGGUCUGCAGCUGCUCAAGUUGCCUUAUCUCCUGCUUGGGAAGUGCUAAGCACAGGACUUUCAAUGAGCAUUCUGAAGCCUUCCUAAAUGCCAGACAAAUAGCUGUUGGAUGCCUGUGAAGCCUUAUGCAAGAGAAUUUGACUUGAUGCCAUUAUGGGCCCUGGAGUUGAGUCUUCCUUGCAAACAGAAAGCUCCCUGCUGCAUGCAUUAUGCUGAACAUGAAUGAUGGUAGCAACCGGGCCAGGAAGUGCAGUAUGACUUUGUGCUGUGGGUUUAAAUACAUGACUCCCACCUUACUUUUGACAUGCCUUCCCCUCCACAUGCAAGUGAUGCAGACAGGCAGCAUGCUGCAGUGGUCAGUGUGUUGGGUUCAAAUCUUCUCUCACCCAUGAAGCUCGCUGGCUGACCUUGGGCCAGUCACUCCCCACCCCCACCCCACUGUAGCCAAGGUUUGUUGUGAGUAUAAAAGAGGGGGAACCAUUUACGCUACCUUCAGCUCCUUGGAUGAAAAUGGGAAACAGAAAUGCCAUAGUGAAUAAUGAGGGGUGGUGUAAGGGGGCUUUCCACUGUUUGCUUCUCUCUUCCUCCACCUUCCAUCCAUCCAACCAACCAACCAACCAGGUACCUGCUGGCUAUGGAGAAAUGAAAACCAGAGAAAUCAGAAAGGCAAAGUGUGAUGAAUGAGUAGAUGGCUACUCAAUGGGGACUGGUUAUUACAGAGUCUGUUUGUUUCAUGAUGACUAGCAAUGAGAAAGGGCUCCAUUCAUCAAAAUUUCCCAUACAUCCCCAAAACAGAUGUUCGCAACCAGUGUUAUGCAUAAAGAUAACAUCAUUUCAUCUCUGCUUUGUGCUAUACUUCCGUGUAACAGGUUCCAUGCAAUGGGACUGUUUUUCUCUGUACAGGAAACAUGCAACGGAGGAAUGGUACUGGUCAAUGUAAGAGUGGUGGCCAUAAAUACUUUUUCGGCAUCUGCCCUUGUGGAUCUGUGCCCCCUGGAAAAUGCAGUUCUUUCGAGAGCUGCUGUAAAGGUGAAGUCUGUGUUCCUCAUUAAGACACCUCGUGCUUAUUAGUAGAUGCUUAUUACUGCAAAAAUGGGGUACAUAGGUCACCUGCCUGCACACAGAAUCAUAGAACUGUAGAACUGGAAGGGACCCCAAUGGUCCUUUAGUUCAAUUCCUUGCAAUGCAGGAAUCUCAGCUAAAGCAUUCCAUUCAGAAGUUUAAUGGAUGGCAACCAGACAUUUUGGGUUGUGCUUCCCAGUGGUGAAUGGUGCCCAUUAGAACUGGUAAGGAGGAAAGCAGAGAGACCUACAGUAUCGUACUUUCCUCUAGUAGAUGUAGCAAAAAGCACAGAUCAGACAAGAACAAGAGGACUUCAAGAACCCUGCCCAAAAGGGGAACUGGAGAGUUCUGUAAAAAAAAUUCAUGUGGUCAGAAGCUGGACCUUUCAAGAGCUCUGUCUUGCUUCAUUUCUGCCCCCACUUCCUGGGUAUUAUAUGGGAAGUGUUAAGAGAAACACAACAAGUUUUGCAUUGUCUACAUAGUUUUGAAAACAUGUUCAUCUCUGAAGUUCCUUGAAGUGCUUCACUUUGGGGCAAUCCUAUGAGAUCCCACUUUCAUUCUGGGAUGGAAGACUGGGGCAAGCGUAACCCAAGGAGUCUGCCCAUAAGAACAGCUACACGCAUUUUAGGAUAGUUCCAUAGGAAACCACAUGGGAGAAGGGGUGUGACAAAUUUGCUCCCCCUGGAGGGGUGUAUGGCAUUGUUUUUUCUCGUGUGUGUGUGUGUGUGUGUUUGUAUGGUUUAUAAAGAAAAAUGCAAAGAUGGUUGUCAUUUUUUGUCAAAACAAAAAUGUUACCGGUAAUCUAGAGGCAAGAAAGAAAAAAAGUAUUGCAUAAAAUACCUGGGCAACACUUGUCUAAAUAUGCAUAUAUUAAUGAAAGUGGCAUGCAAUAGGUACCAUAUUGUGUAAAACUGCUUUGAAAAAAUGGUCUGUCUUUGCUUGCAAAUAUGUUUUUAUUAGGAGAAGGUUGAUGGAUUUUCAUGAGGACUUUAAAAAAAUAAAAUUUGCAAACUAGUAUAGAAAUGUGGUGAAUGGAACUUUAAUUUUUGAAGGGGGUGAAAAGUGAGGACAAGAGAGAAACUAAAAAAAAAAAAAGAAGACGCUAAAUGCAUGGAGAUGAAAUAUAUCAUGCUUUAAUUUGGAAAACGUUUAUUUAUUACAGAAAAGCAGUGUCUGCUAUGUUAAAGUGAGCUGAACACUAAGCUAAGCCGAAAAAGGGUGAGAUACCUGAAAAGCACGUUAAAGUCUCUUCCCUUUUUUCCCCCUGUAGAAGUUCCCCUCCCAAGAAAUCCCAUCGUAUGCAAUUCUAUGGGGGGCAGAUGCCGUCACAAGUGCGGUCGCUCUGAGAAGUCUGUUGGACGAUGCUUUGCAACUAUGUCCUGCUGUGUGCGUUUUCAGUAGAGAGCAUGCGAGAGAGAGAGGCAAGAAAGACCAACAGCGUAUGAUCGGAACAGAGGAAGAAACUGAUCGAUAUGAAUUAAUGCUAAAUCAUUCCUUUUCAAUUAAAAUUGAGUUUGCAUCCAA
rnacentral:lncRNA from 1 species